rnacentral:lncRNA from 1 species
AUGGUUAGAGAAGGCCUGCAUUUGUCUCAGGGGAAAGCACAGCCAGAGGGGAUCGGGAACGCUGCGCGGGGCUGGAAGGUUCCAGAAGGCUUGACUUUCCCCACCUACCUGGUGGUCUACCCGGCCGCAGUCCCAGCCCCGUGUGCCCCCCAACCGAGGGGCAGGACUCCCGCCCCGCGCGGCCCCAGCUCCCGCUCUCCGCGGCGAGCCCGCCGCGCCCCCUGCCGGCGCGCGCUGGGGAGGAGGGGCGGGUGCGGAGGCUGCGGCUGGGCUCCUGGGCAGGCGCCGGGCUUUCUCCCCGGGUUGUGUACGUUUCUUAAAAGAAUGGGCUUGCUGAUUUUAUCUUCAAAACAUGCCUGGAAUCCCACCACUUCGUCUCUCGAUGCCACCACCCUCGAGGCCCACAGCUGCUCUAGUCUGGAUGAUGGCGACAAUCUCGCAGCUGGCCACCCUGCUUCUCCUGUGCAGGGCAGGCCUUUCCAAGCCAGGCCGCCUCAUACCUCACCAUGGGGCUUUUGCCAUGGAGCCUCCCUCUUCCUUAUCCUGUCCCCGAGCUCCUGGCUGUUACCUGAUGCCCCUUCUCUCCUUGCUCACUCUCCGGUGCCUCCCCACUAGCCACACUGGUCCCCUUGCUGCUGCCCCAAGCCGGGUGCACAGCCUGCUCAGUCCUCUCCAGUGGCCCAGGGCUCACUCCUUCACCUCCUUCAGGUCUUGGUCAAAUUCACCUUCUCAGCGAGGUCUUCUACUGUCCUCCCCUCCCACCAGCCCAUCCCUGUAUCCCUAUCCCCAUUCCCACUACUUUUCUUCAAGCACUUGUAGCUUAUAAAAUGAUGUAGCGAUUUAUUUAUUAAUAGCACUUGACUGCUAAUAAAGCCUCUUUACGAGUCGGUGCCCAGAACCCUCUAUUAGUGGGCAUAGCAGUGGGUUGUCCUCACUUCCCAGGAAGGAGGGAGGGUGCCCGCCAUGUGCCAGGUCCUCUCUCGUUCCCCAUUUUGUUUGGUUUGGUUUUAAAAC